CAAUGGGGGACGAAAGNCUGNAUGCAGCGCACGCCGCCGCUGGAGGCGNANGAAGUAUUUCCNGGUAUGGUNAAGCUCUUAUNNACCGGGGAAGCAUAAUGACNGUGACCUNUACUAAGUANGCACCGGCUAAAUACNUGUCCAGCGANCCGCGGCUAAUACNUAUGGUGCAAGCNUUAUCCGGAUUUACUGGGUGNAAAGGGAGCGCAGGCCGUGCGGCAAGUCUGAUGUGAAAGCCCGGGGCUCAACCCCGGUACUGCAUUGGAAACUGUCCUACUAGAGUGUCGGANGGGNAAGCGGAAUUCCUAUUGUAGCGGUGAAAUGCGUAGAUAUUAUGAGGAACACCAGUGGCGAAGGCGGCUUACUGNACUAUAACUGACNCUGAGGCUCGAANGCGUGGGGAGCAAACACGAUUAGAUACCCUGGUANUCCAAGGGCGAAUUC
rnacentral:rRNA from 1 species